GCUGUCACUUGGGCCGGGCACCGGGGCUCGGGCUUGGCCACCGUCCUGGCUGAGUGGGCGGAAGCCUCCCAGACACUGGUGCAGUCUCUCUGUUCCUCUCUCUGUCUUCAUUUCCUGUCUCCUCUCCUUGCUGCCUGCUGGGCCGGACUCAGGAGACUUUGCCAGGCCACCCGGCGGUGUGAGCCACCGACCAGCAAGUGCUGUGGAUGCAUGGAGGGCGGGGCCGGUGAAAACAGGAAGCGGGCACCGACCUCACACAGCUGGCGCUCACUCGCUCAGCCUGCCUACGACGCUGAAAGUGCACGGUGGGCCCACGGACAGCGUCCCUCUCACACGUGAAGAAAGCCUCAUGGUCCACUGUCUCCGAGCCUCUGUGCCCGAGGCUUCCAGCAGGCACAGCUGGCAGUGCUGGUGGCAAACACAGCCAGGCCUCGGGUCUGCAGGACAGAACACCUGGAAGGUGCCUGUGCACCUGCAGAGGCCGCAGCAGGACCGAGCCGGUGCCGUGUUGGUGAGGCCCCGGUGGUGGGCCGUCCCCCCACCGUCUCACGCUCCCCUUCUGCCACUCACGUCCUCCGGUCUCCCAGAACCACCUCCCCUCAGGCUGAGCCUUUGUAGCGGUCUCCGACUGUGAGAUAAGGGAGACCAGACUGAGGUGGGGUAUUAUGCGUAUUUACAGACUGGAAGCGAAAUGUUUGCAGGUCUGCUGCUGGCCUCCUUAGAACGCUGCCUCCUAUCUUUUGGAAAUGAUAUUUAUACCUAACCAGGAGGAAAGAAAAGUUCCAAAAAUGGCUUUGAAAGCCCUCUGACCCACAGGAAAUGGCUCUUGUCAAGUCGGCUGUACAAAGGGCUUGGUAACGCAGGGCGCUCAGGAGGCCUGGGCCGAGGGCACGGGCAGGGCAACUCCAUUUAGCAGUGGGAAGGAUUCUAGUUUAACUCGGGGAAAGCUCCUUUGUGCCAUUCUUUCCCUGGUCAGAGUGGUUACUUGAAAAAAAAAAAAAAC
rnacentral:lncRNA from 1 species